UUAAGCGACUAAGCGUACACGGUGGAUGCCCUGGCAGUCAGAGGCGAUGAAGGACGUGCUAAUCUGCGAAAAGCGCCGGCGAGGUGAUAUGAACCUUUGACCCGGCGAUGUCCGAAUGGGGAAACCCAGUGUGUUCCGACACACUAUCGUUAACUGAAUACAUAGGUUAACGAGGCGAACCGGGGGAACUGAAACAUCUAAGUACCCCGAGGAAAAGAAAUCAACCGAGAUUCCCCCAGUAGCGGCGAGCGAACGGGGAGCAGCCCAGAGUCUGAAUCAGCUUGUGUGUUAGUGGAAGCGUCUGGAAAGUCGCACGGUACAGGGUGACAGUCCCGUACACGAAAGCACACAGGCUGUGAACUCGAAGAGUAGGGCGGGACACGUGGUAUCCUGUCUGAAUAUGGGGGGACCAUCCUCCAAGGCUAAAUACUCCUGACUGACCGAUAGUGAACCAGUACCGUGAGGGAAAGGCGAAAAGAACCCCGGCGAGGGGAGUGAAAAAGAACCUGAAACCGUGUACGUACAAGCAGUGGGAGCCUCUUUAUGGGGUGACUGCGUACCUUUUGUAUAAUGGGUCAGCGACUUAUAUUCUGUAGCAAGGUUAACCGUAUAGGGGAGCCGAAGGGAAACCGAGUCUUAACUGGGCGUUAAGUUGCAGGGUAUAGACCCGAAACCCGGUGAUCUAGCCAUGGGCAGGUUGAAGGUUGGGUAACACUAACUGGAGGACCGAACCGACUAAUGUUGAAAAAUUAGCGGAUGACUUGUGGCUGGGGGUGAAAGGCCAAUCAAACCGGGAGAUAGCUGGUUCUCCCCGAAAGCUAUUUAGGUAGCGCCUCGUGAACUCAUCUUCGGGGGUAGAGCACUGUUUCGGCUAGGGGGCCAUCCCGGCUUACCAACCCGAUGCAAACUACGAAUACCGAAGAAUGUUAUCACGGGAGACACACGGCGGGUGCUAACGUCCGUCGUGAAGAGGGAAACAACCCAGACCGCCAGCUAAGGUCCCAAAGUCAUGGUUAAGUGGGAAACGAUGUGGGAAGGCACAGACAGCCAGGAUGUUGGCUUAGAAGCAGCCAUCAUUUAAAGAAAGCGUAAUAGCUCACUGGUCGAGUCGGCCUGCGCGGAAGAUGUAACGGGGCUAAACCAUGCACCGAAGCUGCGGCAGCGACGCUUAUGCGUUGUUGGGUAGGGGAGCGUUCUGUAAGCCGUUGAAGGUGUCCUGUGAGGGGUGCUGGAGGUAUCAGAAGUGCGAAUGCUGACAUAAGUAACGAUAAAGCGGGUGAAAAGCCCGCUCGCCGGAAGACCAAGGGUUCCUGUCCAACGUUAAUCGGGGCAGGGUGAGUCGACCCCUAAGGCGAGGCCGAAAGGCGUAGUCGAUGGGAAACAGGUUAAUAUUCCUGUACUUGGUGUUACUGCGAAGGGGGGACGGAGAAGGCUAUGUUAGCCGGGCGACGGUUGUCCCGGUUUAAGCAUGUAGGCGGAGGUUCCAGGUAAAUCCGGUUCCUUGUUAACGCUGAGGUGUGAUGACGAGGCACUACGGUGCUGAAGUAACAAAUGCCCUGCUUCCAGGAAAAGCCUCUAAGCAUCAGGUAACACGAAAUCGUACCCCAAACCGACACAGGUGGUCAGGUAGAGAAUACCAAGGCGCUUGAGAGAACUCGGGUGAAGGAACUAGGCAAAAUGGUGCCGUAACUUCGGGAGAAGGCACGCUGAUAUGUAGGUGAAGCCCCUGCGGGUGGAGCUGAAAUCAGUCGAAGAUACCAGCUGGCUGCAACUGUUUAUUAAAAACACAGCACUGUGCAAACACGAAAGUGGACGUAUACGGUGUGACGCCUGCCCGGUGCCGGAAGGUUAAUUGAUGGGGUUAGCGGUAACGCGAAGCUCUUGAUCGAAGCCCCGGUAAACGGCGGCCGUAACUAUAACGGUCCUAAGGUAGCGAAAUUCCUUGUCGGGUAAGUUCCGACCUGCACGAAUGGCGUAAUGAUGGCCAGGCUGUCUCCACCCGAGACUCAGUGAAAUUGAACUCGCUGUGAAGAUGCAGUGUACCCGCGGCAAGACGGAAAGACCCCGUGAACCUUUACUAUAGCUUGACACUGAACACUGGUCCUUGAUGUGUAGGAUAGGUGGGAGGCUUUGAAGCGUGGACGCCAGUCUGCGUGGAGCCAACCUUGAAAUACCACCCUUUAAUGGCUGGUGUUCUAACGUAGACCCGUGAUCCGGGUUGCGGACAGUGUCUGGUGGGUAGUUUGACUGGGGCGGUCUCCUCCCAAAGAGUAACGGAGGAGCACGAAGGUUAGCUAAUCCUGGUCGGACAUCAGGAGGUUAGUGCAAUGGCAUAAGCUAGCUUGACUGCGAGAGUGACGGCUCGAGCAGGUGCGAAAGCAGGUCAUAGUGAUCCGGUGGUUCUGAAUGGAAGGGCCAUCGCUCAACGGAUAAAAGGUACUCCGGGGAUAACAGGCUGAUACCGCCCAAGAGUUCAUAUCGACGGCGGUGUUUGGCACCUCGAUGUCGGCUCAUCACAUCCUGGGGCUGAAGUAGGUCCCAAGGGUAUGGCUGUUCGCCAUUUAAAGUGGUACGCGAGCUGGGUUUAGAACGUCGUGAGACAGUUCGGUCCCUAUCUGCCGUGGGCGCUGGAGAAUUGAGGGGGGCUGCUCCUAGUACGAGAGGACCGGAGUGGACGCAUCACUGGUGUUCGGGUUGUCAUGCCAAUGGCACUGCCCGGUAGCUAAAUGCGGAAGAGAUAAGUGCUGAAAGCAUCUAAGCACGAAACUUGCCCCGAGAUGAGUUCUCCCUGAGACUUUAAGUCUCCUGAAGGAACGUUGAAGACUACGACGUUGAUAGGUCGGGUGUGUAAGCGCAGCGAUGCGUUGAGCUAACCGAUACUAAUGAACCGUGAGGCUUAACCUU
rnacentral:rRNA from 1 species